rnacentral:rRNA from 1 species
AACGAACGCUGGCGGCAGGCCUAACACAUGCAAGUCGAGCGAGGACUUCGGUCCUAGCGGCGGACGGGUGAGUAACGCGUGGGAACGUGCCCUUUGCUUCGGAAUAGCCCUGGGAAACUGGGAGUAAUACCGGAUGAGCCCUUUGGGGGAAAGAUUUAUCGGCGAAGGAUCGGCCCGCGUUGGAUUAGGUAGUUGGUGGGGUAAUGGCCUACCAAGCCGACGAUCCAUAGCUGGUUUUAGAGGAUGAUCAGCCACACUGGGACUGAGACACGGCCCAGACUCCUACGGGAGGCAGCAGUGGGGAAUCUUAGACAAUGGGGGAAACCCUGAUCUAGCCAUGCCGCGUGAGCGAUGAAGGCCUUAGGGUUGUAAAGCUCUUUCAGCUGGGAAGAUAAUGACGGUACCAGCAGAAGAAGCCCCGGCUAACUCCGUG